rnacentral:rRNA from 1 species
AUUAAACGCUGGCGGCAUGCCUUACACAUGCAAGUCGAACGGCAGCACGGGGGCAACCCUGGUGGCGAGUGGCGGACGGGUGAGUAACACAUCGGAACGUGCCCUGGAGUGGGGGAUAACGCAGCGAAAGCUACGCUAAUACCGCAUAUUCUGUGAGCAGGAAAGCAGGGGAUCGCAAGACCUUGCGCUUUGGGAGCGGCCGAUGUCGGAUUAGCUAGUUGGUGGGGUAAAGGCUUACCAAGGCGACGAUCCGUAGCGGGUCUGAGAGGAUGAUCCGCCACACUGGGACUGAGACACGGCCCAGACUCCUACGGGAGGCAGCAGUGGGGAAUUUUGGACAAUGGGCGGAAGCCUGAUCCAGCCAUGCCGCGUGAGUGAAGAAGGCCUCGGUUGU